ensembl:misc_RNA 7SK 7SK RNA
GAAUGUAGGUUUACUAGUAGUUUAGCUGUCACCCCAUUGAUUGCCAGGGUUGAUUUGGCUCAUCUGACUGGCAAUGCAGGUGUCCCCCUUCCUCCCUCACUGUUCCAUGUGUAUCCCUAAAAGAGGACGACUCUCCACAAAUAGAGUAGAAGCAGUCUUUGUUCAAGGGUAUAUGAGUAACUACUAGUUUAGCUGGUUUCCUAGAUCGCAUGUAACAUAUUGUUGGGCUUCACAAUAUCCAUAAUCAUGUGAAAGAAAUAAAUACUCUUUCUUCCU